AUGUAAAAACAUAGGACUAUGCUUGGCACAUAGUACAAAGUGUUAUGGUACUGUGUGCCAAGCAUAGUCCUAUGUUCUUACAU
ensembl:miRNA